AUUGAACGCUGGCGGCAGGCCUAACACAUGCAAGUCGAGCGAGCGGCGGACGGGUGAGUAAUGUCUGGGAAACUGCCUGAUGGAGGGGGAUAACUACUGGAAACGGUAGCUAAUACCGCAUACCAUCAGAUGUGCCCAGAGGGGAUUAGCUAGUAGGUGGGGUAAUGGCCAACCAAGGCGACGAUCCCUAGCCGGUCUGAGAGGGUGACCAGAAACACGGGACAUGAGACACGGUCCGGACUCCUACGGGAGGCAGCAGUGGGGAAUAUUGCACAAUGGGCGCAAGCCUGAUGCAGCCAUGCCGCGUGUGUGAAGAAGGCCUUCGGGUUGUAAAGCACUUUCAGCGAGGAGGCGUUACUCGCAGAAGAAGCACCGGCUAACUCCGUGCCAGCAGCCGCGGAAAUAC
rnacentral:rRNA from 1 species